rnacentral:snRNA from 1 species
GAGCUUCUGCAGCACAUAUACUAAAACUGGAACGAUAUAGAGAAGAUCAGCAUGACCCCUGCACAAGAGUGACAUGCAAAUUCAUGAAGCAUUCCAUAUUUUA